CAGCCGCCGCGGUAAUACGAAGGGUGCAAGCGUUACUCGGAAUUACUGGGCGUAAAGCGUGCGUAGGUGGUUGUUUAAGUCUGCUGUGAAAGCCCUGGGCUCAACCUGGGAAUUGCAGUGGAUACUGGGCAACUAGAGUAAGGUAGAGGAUAGUGGAAUUUCCGGUGUAGCAGUGAAAUGCGUAGAGAUCGGAAGGAACAUCUGUGGCGAAGGCGACUAUCUGGGCCAUUACUGACACUGAGGCACGAAAGCGUGGGGAGCAAACAGGAUUAGAUACCCCAGUAGUCCCUGUCUCUUAUAC
rnacentral:rRNA from 1 species